UUUGGUAAAAAACAUCAGAAGCAAAGCUCUACAAGGAGCCUCAGGCAGGUGUUGCUGGCCUGGAGCCUUCUCAUAAGUGAGAUCACAGGUGUGCAUCAUGUGAGAAGAUGGUGAGGAGGGGGAAAUCCUACUAGAGAAGAGAUGAAAGGAAGCUGAGGAGAGUGGCUGAUCAUCUUUGCUGGUUGUGGCUGGCUGUGUUCUGUGCUGUUGGUGCUGCCCACUGGCAUUUCCUCGCUUGUCAUGUGUCAUCUCCAGACUCCAUUUUACAGCAUUGAACAUAGUGCUCCGCAAGUAUCAUCUUUAUGCAGUGAACCUGCUGCAAGUAUGAGGGUGUGAGGUUUGCUGUCGCUUCCUGAAUGGAAAGUUUUCUGAUGAAGGAGGUAACUUUGCACUGUGUGGUUUGAUUUGGGGUAGCUGCAUGUUGUUGCUCCCACUCUACUAUGAAAAACCAACAGAGAGAGUGGACUGGUUAGGAGAGAAACGUAAUGAACGCAGGAUGACUUUCUGUGGACACCGGAAGUCUGCAGCUCAGCUGUUUGUUGCUAAUCUCCCAAGGCAGCCCCUGGACACUAGGUGAUGCUACAAGAGCUGUGUGUCCUGAAGACUGCUGCUAACAGGACUUCACUGCUCUUCCCUCCAAAGCAUGUCAUGCUUGCUCCACAGCCAGGUUUGGUACACUUACUGUUUGGGCCAGGCAGAGGAACUGUGCCAGGACCAUGAAAUGGGACAUCCUUCCUGACAGAAAACCUGAGCAAAUGAGCCCAUGAAGACCUGCCCCUCAGUACAGGACAACUGGCAGGUACAACAUGAAAAUGAGAAACCCUAACCAUGAGCAGCUGGAGGUAUCUGUGCUCAAACCAUAGGCUCCAUCGGUUAGGUACCAUCUGUCUGAUUCUACCCUCGGCAUUCCUCUCUAGCACUGGCUCAGCAGCUGCCUGAGUUAAGCAGGCUUUGCUCACAUGUGAUGCUCCUUUGCACACCUGAGCAGUAAACAUCUUCCUCUUCAGAGCUGAAGGGAGGAAGCAAAGGCAAGUAGGUAUAUAACAGUCACACAUGGUCGCAGAAUGACACAUAUUCGCAGUAUGAAGUGUUUUUUUACACAAGAGUUUCAUUUAGGCCCCUUCUUCCUUUCCUCCAAAACGCAGUGUCCAUGCCUUGGUUGUUCCUUUUUUUUGCCUUACUCCUGGCUAUCCUUGGAUGACCGGCAUGGCCACCAUUAUUCUAUGGUGCUCCUUAAAAUCAUAGGUUUUAACCAAUCUUUGGGCACCAGACAUCCCCCACAAUGAGUCAAUCAAAUUUAAGCACUAAAUCCCAGAGCAACAAGGUUUUGGAAUUAUGUGCAAAAUAUAGAUGGUGAAACUUAGCUGUGAGACUUCCCAGAAUAAAAGACUGCUUCCAUGCAGCCUCGUGCAUUGUUGUGCAGUGCCCAGCCCACCUGCUGAGUCUCCUUACAGAAGCUUAUGUAUGUUCUUUGCAAGAAAGCAGGUAUCUCCCCAGGGAGGCUCGUGACCUGUCGCUAAUGUGUUAAGCACAAAGCAAAAGAGCAGCAGACGGUAACCAGAAAUACCCAAAUGCCCUUGGUUGCUUCCUCUUCUCGUGGGGUGCAGGGCCAGCUGUUCCCACGGUGGCUCUGCCCGCUGUCUGGGAAACGGCCCUCCCCCUUCUUUGGAUCAGAAGGACCUUGUUGGAGACCUGUUUGAAUGAUGCCUGAGGAAGUCAGCAGCAAUCUUGUACGGAGCAGAACUCUAGGGGACUAAAGGGGACUAAAUGAGGAAAACCAGAGCACAGCUGUGGCUACGGGCAUCUCAUCAGGAUCACCAGUUGCUGCUGUUCCUGUUGCUGCUGUGCAUCCCCCUCCCACUGUGAGCUCUUCUGUUCCCUUUUGCAGGGCCAGUAUUCUUCACAAGGGCAUAGCGUCUAGUGGAUCCAGGAACUAGCCUGAGUUUAGAGCAUUUUUUUUUUUCUGCACCCGGCCGCUACCCGUAAGUUCACAAACUCUGGCCAAGAAUGCUUUCAGUUCUGUUAAGGAGCCCUUGAAAAAAGUUGGGAUAAAGAGUGAAAAAUUAAAGUGUUUGCCAGAAGUCCAGGGAAGAAUUUUGGGAUCUGAAGAUCAGGAUGUAUAAACGGGAGACGAUUAGGCAAAGCUCUAAUAAUACACAAGAAACAUCACAGUUCUUGAUUUCUUUGCGUUUUAUUGCAUUGACACUGCACAUUAAAUCAUCCAGCCUUUGCAAGAAGAGACUGGUAAACGUAUGGGGCUGCUGGUCCUGGCUAUUAGAAGCAUUUUUCUGCUCGUAGCACUACAGAGAUGUAAGGUCACGCCGUACCUUGCACAGGUACGCUGUGACUGUGGGACGGGUGCUUCUAGCACAGCUACCAGGAAUCCACAAGGUUCAGCGUCACAGAAGAGCACUGUGUGCCUUAGGAUUUGGAUCUCCGCGGUGCUGAGCAUCCCGGGAACACGCUGCAAAUCUCCGCUCACUGAACGGCAGCUGAAGCUCUCACCACGUUUGGGGAGGUGUAAAAAGUAACCCCAAAAUGUGCCAUUAAACUACGAGGGUGGGGGAGCCCCACAGGGACCACCGUGCGGCCGCCCGUGCCCCAGGAGCAGAGAGCGGGCCGGCCGGGGGCCAGCUGCUCUCGUCCGCGUCCUGCUCCGGCCCAACUCCGCGCGAAACCCUCGCCCGCUUCCCA